AUGCCUCCAGGAAGGGUGAUGGCCCCAGCUCCAGGACAAAAAAAGAGGAUCCUGGAACCUGAUGAACCUGCCCUUGAUAGAGUCACAAGGCAGAAAGCAAAGAUGGCGACUGCGACGGACCAUCAGGAAAGUCUGCUGCGCAUGGACUCUGAGACCUCGGUGCAAAUGGGUGAUGAGUUGCCGCCCAUGGAUGAAGAUGCAAUGACUACCAAGACUAGACAUAGAAAGGGCAAAGGGCUAGAGAGGAUCACCAAGUCGCUUGGUAGCAAGGUGCAUAUCCAAAUUGCCGAAGGGUUGAAGCGUCCAGAGAAGCCUCUGCAGUCAGCAAAGCUUGCUUCUGAGUGUGGACUCGUUGCAAGAAGCCAUCUUCCGGUUCUUCCUCACUUCAAGCUAUACAAAAAAAAUGCUAGUCUAUUGGAGAACUACAUUGGGAAAAGUUGCAAAUUUUGA
rnacentral:rRNA from 1 species